rnacentral:sRNA from 1 species
UUGGGAGCCAGGCGCCUGCUUGCUAGGAGUAGGACCAUCUGCCCAGGCUUAGGUGGGGGCCUGUGUGAGGAGCCAUGUGGCUAACAGGUGAACAGGCUGCUUGUUGCCUCAGUGUGACCAACAGUGGACCUCAAACACAGCCUGGAAUUUGCAGGACACCUGACAAGAAGCCCUGCUGGUUUACCGUGUCUUCAGGAACGAAGCUAAACGCACCACCAAGGUCCUGCACGGGCUGCUGCACAUCUUUGCGCUCGUCAUCGCCCUGGUUGGCUUGGUGGCGGUGUUUGACUACCACAGGAAGAAGGGCUACGCUGACCUAUACAGCCUACACAGCUGGUGCGGGAUCCUUGUCUUUGUCCUGUACUUUGUGCAGUGGCUGGUGGGCUUCAGCUUCUUCCUGUUCCCCGGAGCUUCAUUCUCCCUGCGGAGCCGCUACCGCCCACAGCACAUCUUCUUUGGUGCUACCAUCUUCCUCCUUUCCGUGGGCACCGCCCUGCUGGGCCUGAAGGAGGCACUGCUGUUCAACCUCGGGGGCAAGUAUAGCGCGUUUGAGCCCGAGGGUGUCCUGGCCAACGUGCUGGGCCUGCUGCUGGUCUGCUUCGGUGGGGCGGUGCUCUACAUCUUGACCCGGGCCGACUGGAAGCGGCCUUCCCAGGCGGAAGAGCAGGCCCUCUCCAUGGACUUCAAGACGCUGACGGAGGGAGACAGCCCCGGCUCCCAGUGAUGCACCCGGCCGGCCCUGGGGGUUCGCGGGGUGUCUUCUUGCCUGCCCCUGCUGAGGCGUCUUCAGGACUGCAGGCUCCAGAGAGUGGCUCUGGCAGCAGGCGGGUGCGUGGGUGCAGCUGCAUCUAUUUGAGUGCUGCUU